AGCGAACGCUGGCGGCAGGCUUAACACAUGCAAGUCGAGCGGGCGUAGCAAUACGUCAGCGGCAGACGGGUGAGUAACGCGUGGGAACAUACCUUUUGGUUCGGAACAACACAGGGAAACUUGUGCUAAUACCGGAUAAGCCCUUACGGGAAAGAUUUAUCGCCGAAAGAUUGGCCCGCGUCUGAUUAGCUAGUUGGUGAAGUAACGGCUCACCAAGGCGACGAUCAGUAGCGGUCUGAGAGGAUGAUCAGCCACAUUGGACUGAGACACGGCCCAAACUCCUACGGAGGCAGCAGUGGGAAUCUUGCGCAAUGGCCGAAAGGCUGACGCAGCGACGCCGCGUGU
rnacentral:rRNA from 1 species